UUUUGAUUUUGUACCAGCACCCUGCCUCAAACGGACUGUUCCUAGACUUUCUGAUUCGUCCACUAGUCCUCCUCCAAGUUUCUGUUCAAGUCGAGCAAUCGAUUCUCUCAAUCGCUCGACUCAACGUCCUAUGUUAAUCACCUUAUUUAAUAUCGUAUCGAGCUCAUCGGGAGCGCGACGAAUAUGACUUUCAUAGAAUAUUUCAAAGUUACGUUGCUAUUUUCGCGUUCCUAGUGGAGAAUUGUCGUGAUUCAAACAAAAAACAAUCGAGGGUAGGUCAAAGUUUUGGCCCACCCUAACCUUCGGUUCGUAAAAACAAACGAACAAGCAAGCGCAAGAAUACGAGAGGAGUCAAACGAGGAACAGAACCACCUACCGGUUCUCGGGACACCGCUGCAGCCAACCUCCGUCCCGUUCACGCCCGUGUAGCCGCACCGCCCUCCUCGUCUCCGGCACGACGCGCAGUCCGGGACGCCCCACGUCAAGCUUAUGACGUCCUCGACGUCCGACCAGAACGGCCCCGGCAGCGGCACCGUCACCGUCGCCACCUCCUCGCAG